rnacentral:rRNA from 1 species
GAUGAACGCUGGCGGCGUGCCUAAUACAUGCAAGUCGAGCGAACGGACGAGAAGCUUGCUUCUCUGAUGUUAGCGGCGGACGGGUGAGUAACACGUGGAUAACCUACCUAUAAGACUGGGAUAACUUCGGGAAACCGGAGCUAGUACCGGAUAAUAUUUUGAACCGCAUGGUUCAAAAGUGAAAGACGGUCUUGCUGUCACUUAUAGAUGGAUCCGCGCUGCAUUAGCUAGUUGGUAAGGUAACGGCUUACCAAGGCAACGAUGCAUAGCCGACCUGAGAGGGUGAUCGGCCAGCCUGGAACUGAGACACGGUCCAGACUCCUACGGGAGGCAGCAGUAGGGAAUCUUCCGCAAUGGGCGAAAGCCUGACGGAGCAACGCCGCGUGAGUGAUGAAGGUCUUCGGAUCGUAAAACUCUGUUAUUAGGGAAGAACAUAUGUGUAAGUAACUGUGCACAUCUUGACGGUACCUAAUCAGAAAGCCACGGCUAACUACGUG